rnacentral:misc_RNA from 1 species
UUUUUUUUUUUUUUUUUGGAAAAGUCUUUGAUUAAUACAAAAUAACGUGUAAUGUUUAACUCGAUGAAAGCAGAGAACCUAAAACCCUCGUCACUUUCAAGACAAAAUUAAUCAGGGCUAACCAUUUCAAAGCUUUAAUUAGCAAUUAAGGAGAGAAUCACAUGAGAUACAAUCUGGGUUAACAAAUAUGCGCCAUAUAAAUUAUAAUACACAGUAUCCAGUAGUUUCCCUCUGUAAUUGUCACACCAUAUCAUCUUUAAACAAAAGAAGUGAUAAGAUGAGCAUUAUCAAACUGAUUACUAGUUAAAGAAUAGCAUAAAAGGCAUUCCCUUUAUCAGCAUGGGAGAGCAUAGCUUAAAACUGGUAAUUAUCUUUAUUGUAGCCAAGAUAACUUUGAAAAAGUUGCCAACUUACCAUAUAUUAAUUGACAGCAAUGAAAAUGAAAGGUUAACAGUCAACUACUUGAAUCAAGCUUCUACAGUUAUUUUAGCCCAUAGGAAUUGGCAAAACUAAAAAUUUCCUUCUAAAUAACCCACUUAACAACCAAACAGAGUAUAAGAAAAAAUCUACUGAAAAGUGCUAUAGCAUACCGUUCACAGCCAAACCAGUUAGAAGGAAUUAACAAAUCAAAGUAACAGAAAAUUUUAAUAUUUUCCAUGAAUCUUAGUCUCAAAACUAGACCCCAAAAAAAUAAAAGAGUACAAAUGAAUGCAUUAUCGUAAUUUUAAGUUCAGAUAUAGAUCUGCAAUGUUGAAAAUUAUGACCAUCGCCGUUGGACAUGAAGAAAGCUAGAGAUCAAAUCAGUUUAAUAUCUAAGAAAAGAUCUUAAAAUCGCACAACGAAAAUUCACAAUGAUGAACUCAAAACAUGGAAGCAAAGGUUGAUCAGCUAUAUAAUUUUUUUCUUUAAGGAAAAAAAAAAAG